rnacentral:rRNA from 1 species
GAUGAACGCUGGCGGCGGGCCUAAUACAUGCAAGUCGAGCGGACAGACGAGGAGCUUGCUCCUCUGAUGUUAGCGGCGGACGGGUGAGUAACACGUGGAUAACCUACCUAUAAGACUGGGAUAACUUCGGGAAACCGGAGCUAAUACCGGAUAACAUGGUGAACCGCAUGGUUCAACAGUGAAAGACGGUCUUGCUGUCACUUAUAGAUGGAUCCGCGCCGCAUUAGCUAGUUGGUAAGGUAACGGCUUACCAAGGCAACGAUGCGUAGCCGACCUGAGAGGGUGAUCGGCCACACUGGAACUGAGACACGGUCCAGACUCCUACGGGAGGCAGCAGUAGGGAAUCUUCGGCAAUGGGCGAAAGCCUGACGGAGCAACGCCGCGUGAGUGAAGAAGGUCUUCGGAUCGUAAAACUCUGUUAUUAGGGAAGAACAAAUGUGUAAGUAACUAUGCACGUCUUGACGGUACCUAAUCAGAAAGCCCCGGCUAACUACGUG